AUUGAACGCUGGCGGCGUGCUUAACACAUGCAAGUCGAUCGGUAACAGGUGUAGCAAUACAUGCUGACGAGAGGCGGACGGGUGAGUAAUGCUUGGGAAUCUGCCUAUUAGUGGGGGACAACCCGGGGAAACUCGGGCUAAUACCGCAUACGCUCUACGGAGGAAAGCCGGGGACCGCAAGGCCUGGCGCUAAUAGAUGAGCCCAAGUCGGAUUAGCUAGUUGGUAGGGUAACGGCCUACCAAGGCGACAAUCCGUAGCUGGUCUGAGAGGACGACCAGCCACACCGGAACUGAGACACGGUCCGGACUCCUACGGGAGGCAGCAGUGGGGAAUAUUGGACAAUGGGGGCAACCCUGAUCCAGCGACGCCGCGUGGGUGAAGAAGGCCUGCGGGUUGUAAAGCCC
rnacentral:rRNA from 1 species